AUCAACUUAUUUUGAGUUUGUUGUGUGUUUGUAGUCUCUACUUUAUUUUUUACAUGUGAGAGUUAAAAAGUUGUAGUUUGGUGUGCUAAGGUAUAUGCAAGGGUGUAACUAGGAAUUUUGCAACGAGUGGGUUAGCUAAAGUUUUUGGCUUAUAUCUAAUGGUAAUUUUUCUUGUACUUUAUAGUUUUCUAGAAAUAAAAUAUAUAUUAAAGCAUAUAAACCAUACUAGUUCAUAGUUCCAUUGACUAAUUUCCAAUAAGCUUUUACAUAAAAUAAAUACAUGUGAAAUGCACCAAAAACACACAGAGUAUCAAAAUGAAAAUAUGUUCAAUAGUUACAUAUUCAAGUGGUGCCUUAUGAUCCUUGAGAGAAUUGAAAUCUUUUGUUAGUGUGUAUGAAUCGAUAUUGUCAGCAAGUUCUUUUUCAAUGUAGACAAUUAAUGAAUCGCA
rnacentral:lncRNA from 1 species